ensembl:lncRNA
ACCUGCACUCAUGGCAUAUGGACGUUCCCAGGCCAGGGAUCAAAUCCGAGCCACAGCUGCAACCUAGGUGACACUGGAUCCUUAACCCACUGCAUCACAGUUUUUGAGCACCUGGCAUGUGUGAUAUGAUCUCAUCCAAUUAUCUCUACUUGUUCAAAAAAAUUGCACCUUUUAAGAUCUUUACCUAGAACCUAACACAUUCCUCCAUAAUGAUAUUUAAUUACUUCAACCUGAUCCAGAAAGAGCAAUCCCACAUAGUUCAAACUAAGACCACCAGGGGCUGGCCAAGGAAUGAAGUGCCACUUGCACUAUCGCUUCGAGUAGAAAAUGCAUCUGUGGUGGUUCUAGAAACAUGCCCCCAUUCCACGAAAGUAUUUCCCUCUGAGGCUGCCAAAAAGCCACGGUCCAGUGACCGGGCAUACCACCCCACCUGGGCACACAGGAACCACUUCUGACAACGAACCACAGACCUGGCACUUGUGUAGGGGAGGCACCAGCCCCAGAGGCCGCCCAAGGAGCCCAGAGAGGCCUCCAUCCCUCCCAUCUCUGCUGCCUACCCUACCCUGCAACUGACCUCUCAGUGCGGCCAGGUCCCCUGAACCCCUGCUCUUAAUGGUACCGCGACAGGACUCCUCGAGAAUCCUUCAUAAACUCUCUCAAGCACUGCUCUUGGCGCCUCAUCACAAUACAAUCUAACAAAACAAUAUCACAGCAUUUGGGGAAGAGAGAAGCUACCAAAUUUCACCACAAAGCCUCCCUCCCCCUUGUUCCCCAGGAAACCUAGUUUGCCAGAAGAGGCAUCCUUUGCUCCCGUUUUCAUAAGGAUGCUUGGUUUACCUUUACAGUCUAAUCCCACCCAGGCCCAUGGGGGGCUUUCCUUCUCUGUACCAAUUCUCCCACAGGACCCCUGGGGUGGGCCAUCUAGGAGCCCCUCCAAGAUGUCCAUGUUCUCACACCUGGAACCUGUGACUGUAUUACCCUGCAUGGCAAAGGUGACUUUUCAGACGGGAUCCGGAUUCUCUUGGAUGGCUCAGGGGGCCCUGAUGCAGCAACAGAGGUCCUUAUAACAAGGAUACAGGAGAAUUUAAAGAGUCAGAAGUAGACGUGAGGAAAGGGUCUCGAGCCAAGCACAGGGGCAGGCUCCAGAAUCUAGAAAAGGCAACGAAACAGAUGCUCUACUCAGGGCCUCCAGAGGGAACCAGCCUUGCCAAUACCUUGACCUUAGCCCAGCGAAACUGAUUUUGGCCUUCAAGACUCUAGAACAGUGAGAAGAUUGAUUUAUGUUAUUUUAAGCCACAAGGUUUGUGGUCAUUUCUAACAGCAUCUCUUCCGGAGAAAGGGGACUGUGAUGAUGAUAAACACACAGAACCAGAAAUACCCUUGAACUUCAGGCAUGAGUCGUCCUCAUUGGGAUCCACACAGCCUUUCUCUCUGGACUCUAGGAGCCCGCUGAAUCCUCUGCUCUCGCUCACCAAAGUUGAGAACCCAAGACCCGUGAUGCCAUAAGCAAGGGUUAUGACUUGUGAGUACUGCUCAGUAGAGCAUCUUAGCACCUAGAUGGAAAAAACAACUCCCAUCCUAGCCUGCUGCCUUUGUGAUUCAUAAACCAGGGAAACGACAGAAAAACAGUAAAGAAUGUGUACAGCACUUUGAUUUUAUCCAACAGAAGAUACUGGGCAAAACAAAACACAAAACCUACAAGGAAGCGCCUCCAGAUCCACAAUUCCUUUUACCACACGGACAGGAGCUGGGCCAAGCCAACUUCGCUCCAUGGAUCCCACAGGUGGGCCAGCCUGCAGUCUCGCCUCGCUGCCGGGCAGCCAGCCUGAGCCCUGGAAAGCCAGAGCCUGUGCCCACGGGGCUCCUCGAGACAACGAGAGGAGGAAGGCUCUGGAAGGUGGUGGCAUCCUGCCCACCUCGGAGGUAGCCUGGGGCCUCUGGAUCACGCCAUCUCGCCAGCACCUGAGAGGUGUGGGCCAGGCAGCCAACCACAUCAGAAGCUGGCUGCCAGCCGGCCCCAGUUGCCCAACACCUCCGCAGGAGCCAGCUUUCCAGGAGUGGGUUUUACCCGCCACACAGGUACCAGCCGCUGCUGACCAAAGCGGGGCACGGCGCCUUGAAGAAUGUCCCACACGAUGGCCAGCCCGACGGGGGUCAAGGAGGCUGUCCGGCUACAGAGCAAUGCAAUGCACCUGCGCUCCACACUGGCCUCUGCAAAGCACGUUCUCUGCGCGGAUUACGCAAAGCAGGAUCCCACCAGGCUCUUCCUAGGACUCCAGCCGACCUCGGCUUUCCUCCAAGCCCAUGUCAGACCUCCCACCCCUCCCUACCCAUCCACCCCUUAAUCCUCCCAACCCUACAAGUCACUGGUUUACACGCUCCCAGUGUAACCCGUUUCCGUUAUGUUUAACAAGUAACGUCGUGAAGGGCGUGUCAGGAUGUUCAGGGUCAGGGUACCUAGGCUUCCUCCGUGGGAGUUAAACCUGUGACUUCAGGGCACAUGUACAAGGUGGCAUUUUAAGCCGGGUAAAGUAGUCAAAGAAAAAAAAAGAAAGUUAACCAACCUUCCACAAAGGGCUCUCAUUCCGCCUCUGCUGAAUAAAGAUGCAACUCGGAAUAUUCCAAGUCCAAGAGAAGGUGGAUUUUGGCAAAAGCGGCAUCUAAUUUGCCCAAGAUUCAAAAUCUUUGAGCCACUUGACCAGUUUUCUCUCUGCCGACUACUUCUUCUGAUGUGCCCCCCCCCCCCAAAAUAAACCAGGCCCAGAAAUAGAAUCCCAUCUCCCUUGGCUCUUAUGACUAAUGUAUGGCCUUCUUUUAAAGCCCUCACACCACAGCUCUGACUCCAGUAAUUUCCUCUUCUUCUCUACGAACGUCCAUUUACAGCCUUUCUGUAACCUCUACGUGAACCAAGAAUGUUCUCUGUCCCUCCCACGGAUGUGGGAUCACGCCCUGGUGAGAGCGGGGUGGCGCUGGACGGAAUCUCUCACUGCAGUGUGAGCUCACUCGGGACCCUACCCAAGCCCAGCUCCCGGAGAAGGGGAGGAGGUCUUUUGCUUUAAGGAGCUUUUACAAAAGACAAAACAAUUCCAAGGGCUGGGUGGGCAACCAGUAAAACUCAAGACAUGGCUCGGGGGUUCCUUAUGCACUUGGAUGAAGGGGCAUAGCGGCAUCUUUAUUUCAUUUUUAUCUGGGGAGGAGGGUUUGGGAAGGUGUCCCAGAAAAUAGCGUCCGUCCG